rnacentral:rRNA from 1 species
CGUGCCUAAUACAUGCAAGUCGAGCGGACAGAAGGGAGCUUGCUCCCGGAUGUUAGCGGCGGACGGGUGAGUAACACGUGGGUAACCUGCCUGUAAGACUGGGAUAACUCCGGGAAACCGGAGCUAAUACCGGAUAGUUCCUUGAACCGCAUGGUUCAAGGAUGAAAGACGGUUUCGGCUGUCACUUACAGAUGGACCCGCGGCGCAUUAGCUAGUUGGUGGGGUAAUGGCUCACCAAGGCGACGAUGCGUAGCCGACCUGAGAGGGUGAUCGGCCACACUGGGACUGAGACACGGCCCAGACUCCUACGGGAGGCAGCAGUAGGGAAUCUUCCGCAAUGGACGAAAGUCUGACGGAGCAACGCCGCGUGAGUGAUGAAGGUUUUCGGAUCGUAAAGCUCUGUUGUUAGGGAAGAACAAAGUGCGAGAGUAACUGCUCGCACCUUGACGGUACCUANCCAGAAAGCCACGGCUAACUACGUGCCA